GAUGAACGCUAGCUACAGGCUUAACACAUGCAAGUCGAGGGGAAACGAUAGAGAAAGCUUGCUUUUUCUAGGCGUCGACCGGCGCACGGGUGAGUAACGCGUAUCCAACCUGCCCAUCACUUGGGGAUAACCUUGCGAAAGUAAGACUAAUACCCAAUGACGUCUCUAGAAGACAUCUGAAGGAGAUUAAAGAUUUAUCGGUGAUGGAUGGGGAUGCGUCUGAUUAGCUUGUUGGCGGGGUAACGGCCCACCAAGGCGACGAUCAGUAGGGGUUCUGAGAGGAAGGCCCCCCACAUUGGAACUGAGACACGGUCCAAACUCCUACGGGAGGCAGCAGUGAGGAAUAUUGGUCAAUGGACGAGAGUCUGAACCAGCCAAGUAGCGUGCAGGAUGACGGCCCUAUGGGUUGUAAACUGCUUUUAUAAGGGAAUAAAGUGAGUCUCGUGAGACUUUUUGCAUGUACCUUAUGAAUAAGGACCGGCUAAUUCCGUGCCAGCAGCCG
rnacentral:rRNA from 1 species